rnacentral:rRNA from 1 species
CCUACGGGAGGCAGCAGCUGAGAAUCUUCCUCAAUGGCCGAAAGGCUGAAGGAGCGACGCCGCGUGACUGUGAGCCCUUCGGGGUGUAAAGUUCUUUUGUUUGGGAACAAGCUC